AACAUAUACCUAGGUAAGCGCUGAGUUCACGCAGAUAACCACCAUCCCAAAGUUGAUGUCGCAGCUGGACCACUACUACGACAAGUUGACUGGAGUGCUACGAAAGAAACGACUCCAUUGAAACAAGGCAGUAGCUUUGUAACUCAAUGAAGACCCCGAAGAGCUAGUGAAGGAAUACGGAGAAAAUGAUGGGUGGAGAUGAAACCUCAUGAGACGUGCAGCACUCCUGAGCAGGCUGAACUCUUCAGCACUCACUCACACAAACACUGAAUUUACUUAAUAUACUUUUUAUAAACAUCUGUGGCAGACUGUGUGAGACAAUGAUUCACAGUGCUGAGGGUGCUGGAAUAAAGUUGAAUAAUAAAUUUAAAAUAAAAUAAAAAGCUUUAUAUACAUGAAGCAGGUGGAUAAAGCAGCUUCAACAGUUAUAUAGAUUUACAUUGUAAUAUAUUUUUGACUAAGUGUCACUAAACAAGAUAUUCAA